rfam:Salmo salar isolate Sally breed double haploid chromosome ssa21, whole genome shotgun sequence.
GUCUCUGGUUAGUUUUGCUGGUUUGCUUUCAGCUUUUCAAUGUACUGCUGUGCAAAUCCAUGCAAAACUGAUCAUAGCA